rnacentral:rRNA from 1 species
GACGAACGCUGGCGGCGUGCUUAACACAUGCAAGUCGAACGAAGUGGCGUACGGGUGAGUAACGCGUAAUCAACCAGCCCUUCAGCGGGGAACAACAGUUGGAAACGACUGCUAAUACAGCAUACUGAAGGAGGGGAGUGCGUCUGAUUAGCUAGUUGGAGGGGUAACGGCCCACCAAGGCGAAGAUCAGUAGCCGGUGUGAGCCGAUGAACGGCCACAUUGGGACUGGGACACGGCCCCGAAUCCUACGGGUGGCAGCAGUGGGGGUUCUGCAGAUAGGGAAGAAAGUGUGACGGAGAAACGGCCCGGCAGUGAGGAGGGCCUUCGGGUUGUAAAGCUCUGUUAACCGGGACGCGGUACCGGAAGAGAAAGCCACGGCUAACUACGUGCCAGCAGCCGCGGUAAUAC